ACAUGCAAGUCGAGGGGUAGAAGAGGCUUGCUUCUUUGAGACCGGCGCACGGGUGCGUAACGCGUAUGCAACCUACCUUCAUCUGGGGGAUAGCCCGGAGAAAUCCGGAUUAAUACCGCAUAAAAUCACAGGAUGGCAUUAUCCAAUGAUCAAACAUUUAUGGGAUGGAGAUGGGCAUGCGUGUCAUUAGCUAGUUGGCGGGGUAACGGCCCACCAAGGCGACGAUGACUAGGGGAUCUGAGAGGAUGGCCCCCCACACUGGUACUGAGACACGGACCAGACUCCUACGGGAGGCAGCAGUAAGGAAUAUUGGUCAAUGGAGGCAACUCUGAACCAGCCAUGCCGCGUGCAGGAAGACUGCCCUAUGGGUUGUAAACUGCUUUUAUUCGGGAAUAAACCUAUUUACGUGUAAAUAGCUGAAUGUACCGAAGGAAUAAGGAUCGGCUAACUCCGUGCCAGCAGCCGCGGUAAUACGGAGGAUCCAAGCGUUAUCCGGAUUUAUUGGGUUUAAAGGGUGCGUAGGCGGCCUGUUAAGUCAGGGGUGAAAGACGGUAGCUCAACUAUCGCAGUGCCCUUGAUACUGAUGGGCUUGAAUGGACUAGAGGUAGGCGGAAUGAGACAAGUAGCGGUGAAAUGCAUAGAUAUGUCUCAGAACACCGAU
rnacentral:rRNA from 1 species